GGGUUGUGAGGUUAAGCGACUAAGCGUACACGGUGGAUGCCCUGGCAGUCAGAGGCGAUGAAGGACGUGCUAAUCUGCGAAAAGCGUCGGUAAGGUGAUAUGAACCGUUAUAGCCGGCGAUGUCCGAAUGGGGAAACCCAGUGCAAUUCGUUGCACUAUCGUUAACUGAAUACAUAGGUUAACGAGGCGAACCGGGGGAACUGAAACAUCUAAGUACCCCGAGGAAAAGAAAUCAACCGAGAUUCCCCCAGUAGCGGCGAGCGAACGGGGAGCAGCCCAGAGUCUGAAUCAGCUUGUGUGUUAGUGGAACGGUCUGGAAAGUCCGACGGUACAGGGUGAUAGUCCCGUACACCAAAAUGCACAGGUUGUGAACUCGAAGAGUAGGGCGGGACACGUGGUAUCCUGUCUGAAUAUGGGGGGACCAUCCUCCAAGGCUAAAUACUCCUGACUGACCGAUAGUGAACCAGUACCGUGAGGGAAAGGCGAAAAGAACCCCGGCGAGGGGAGUGAAAAAGAACCUGAAACCGUGUACGUACAAGCAGUGGGAGCACCUUCGGGUGUGACUGCGUACCUUUUGUAUAAUGGGUCAGCGACUUAUAUUCUGUAGCAAGGUUAACCGUAUAGGGGAGCCGCAGGGAAACCGAGUCUUAACUGGGCGUUAAGUUGCAGGGUAUAGACCCGAAACCCGGUGAUCUAGCCAUGGGCAGGUUGAAGGUUGGGUAACACUAACUGGAGGACCGAACCGACUAAUGUUGAAAAAUUAGCGGAUGACUUGUGGCUGGGGUGAAAGGCCAAUCAAACCGGGAGAUAGCUGGUUCUCCCCGAAAGCUAUUUAGGUAGCGCCUCGUGAAUUCAUCUUCGGGGUAGAGCACUGUUUCGGCUAGGGGGUCAUCCCGACUUACCAACCCGAUGCAAACUACGAAUACCGAAGAAUGUUAUCACGGGAGACACACGGCGGGUGCUAACGUCCGUCGUGAAGAGGGAAACAACCCAGACCGCCAGCUAAGGUCCCAAAGUCAUGGUUAAGUGGGAAACGAUGUGGGAAGGCACAGACAGCCAGGAUGUUGGCUUAGAAGCAGCCAUCAUUUAAAGAAAGCGUAAUAGCUCACUGGUCGAGUCGGCCUGCGCGGAAGAUGUAACGGGGCUAAACCAUGCACCGAAGCUGCGGCAGCGACACUAUGUGUUGUUGGGUAGGGGAGCGUUCUGUAAGCCUGCGAAGGUGUGCUGUGAGGCAUGCUGGAGGUAUCAGAAGUGCGAAUGCUGACAUAAGUAACGAUAAAGCGGGUGAAAAGCCCGCUCGCCGGAAGACCAAGGGUUCCUGUCCAACGUUAAUCGGGGCAGGGUGAGUCGACCCCUAAGGCGAGGCCGAAAGGCGUAGUCGAUGGGAAACAGGUUAAUAUUCCUGUACUUGGUGUUACUGCGAAGGGGGACGGAGAAGGCUAUGUUAGCCGGGCGACGGUUGUCCCGGUUUAAGCAUGUAGGCUGGUUGUCCAGGCAAAUCCGGAUAAUCAAGGCUGAGGUGUGAUGACGAGGCACUACGGUGCUGAAGUAACAAAUGCCCUGCUUCCAGGAAAAGCCUCUAAGCAUCAGGUAACAUUAAAUCGUACCCCAAACCGACACAGGUGGUCAGGUAGAGAAUACCAAGGCGCUUGAGAGAACUCGGGUGAAGGAACUAGGCAAAAUGGUGCCGUAACUUCGGGAGAAGGCACGCUGGUGUGUAGGUGAAGUCCCUGCGGAUGGAGCUGAGACCAGUCGAAGAUACCAGCUGGCUGCAACUGUUUAUUAAAAACACAGCACUGUGCAAACACGAAAGUGGACGUAUACGGUGUGACGCCUGCCCGGUGCCGGAAGGUUAAUUGAUGGGGUUAUCCGUAAGGAGAAGCUCUUGAUCGAAGCCCCGGUAAACGGCGGCCGUAACUAUAACGGUCCUAAGGUAGCGAAAUUCCUUGUCGGGUAAGUUCCGACCUGCACGAAUGGCGUAAUGAUGGCCAGGCUGUCUCCACCCGAGACUCAGUGAAAUUGAACUCGCUGUGAAGAUGCAGUGUACCCGCGGCAAGACGGAAAGACCCCGUGAACCUUUACUAUAGCUUGACACUGAACAUUGAGCCUUGAUGUGUAGGAUAGGUGGGAGGCUUUGAAGCGUGGACGCCAGUCUGCGUGGAGCCAACCUUGAAAUACCACCCUUUAAUGUUUGAUGUUCUAACGUUGGCCCCUUACCGGGGUUGCGGACAGUGUCUGGUGGGUAGUUUGACUGGGGCGGUCUCCUCCCAAAGCGUAACGGAGGAGCACGAAGGUUAGCUAAUCCUGGUCGGACAUCAGGAGGUUAGUGCAAUGGCAUAAGCUAGCUUGACUGCGAGCGUGACGGCGCGAGCAGGUGCGAAAGCAGGUCAUAGUGAUCCGGUGGUUCUGAAUGGAAGGGCCAUCGCUCAACGGAUAAAAGGUACUCCGGGGAUAACAGGCUGAUACCGCCCAAGAGUUCAUAUCGACGGCGGUGUUUGGCACCUCGAUGUCGGCUCAUCACAUCCUGGGGCUGAAGUAGGUCCCAAGGGUAUGGCUGUUCGCCAUUUAAAGUGGUACGCGAGCUGGGUUUAGAACGUCGUGAGACAGUUCGGUCCCUAUCUGCCGUGGGCGCUGGAGAAUUGAGGGGGGCUGCUCCUAGUACGAGAGGACCGGAGUGGACGCAUCACUGGUGUUCGGGUUGUCAUGCCAAUGGCACUGCCCGGUAGCUAAAUGCGGAAGAGAUAAGUGCUGAAAGCAUCUAAGCACGAAACUUGCCCCGAGAUGAGUUCUCCCUGAGACUUUAAGUCUCCUGAAGGAACGUUGAAGACGACGACGUUGAUAGGCCGGGUGUGUAAGCGCAGCGAUGCGUUGAGCUAACCGGUACUAAUGAACCGUGAGGCUUAACCUUACAACGCCGAAG
rnacentral:rRNA from 1 species